rnacentral:lncRNA from 12 species
CGCCGCCCCCGGGCCGCCGGGACCCCGCGCCGCCGCCCGCUCAGCUGUUUCCGGCCCGCGCCUGUGCUGCGGGAGGAGGCCUUGCGGCGCUCGGCCCGGCCCCUCCCGAUUGGCCCGCGGCGUCACGUGCCCGCAAUCAGCUGGGGCCAGCUGGGGCGGCUCGGGCGGCCUCGCCGGGCGGGGUGGGCGUGCGCCCGCCCGCACCCCCUGACGCCGCCCGCCGUCCGGGUAGCCGCGCCGCGCACUGCGGAUUGGGAGCCGCGAGGCGGAACUGCUCCCCGAAGAGCUGUUGCGUCCUGACGCCUAGUAACCCCCCCUCCGAGGGAGAGCCCGGGAAGGUCUCCUUGACAGAUGGAAAACCUGAAGCGACCUCAGGCUAGCUAACCUUCUGUUUUUGGAAAACUAGACUUGCUGGUGAAGUCACUGAGGUCCGGGGCGGGGGUGGGGGUGGGGGUGUAAUAGGAUAUUAGCUCACUUGGUCGUGGCCGUGUCUACAGUGUUGCCGCGGCGUUCCGACGCAGACGAACCAAAAUACACACCAAGUGUUCCCCGGGGUAAAUAUUUCUGCCAGAUGUGAAGUGUCCUGGUGGAUUCUUUUCCUAAAACUUUAUUGCGUUAUUUGUGCUGUGUUAGAUUAAGGGGGUUACUGAGAACUUUUCUCGAGAAGCCUGUAGCCUAGUGAAAAGUCCUAGGCAGACGAAGUCGAGUAACAGUGCAAACUUAAUUGUUAGUAAAGUAGGAAAUGAGUGUCGCAGGAGUUGAAAAAUAGGGCAGUGAAGAAGAAAUAGGUAACUGUGAAGUGGAUCGGGAUUGCUUAGACCUACAAAAUGGGAGGAGAGCUUUUGGGCAGACAAGCGUAGGAGGAAAAACUUCGGCCUGGAGCAUUUACAAAAUAGAAGGUGGAAUUUGGCACACAAUGUACGUUUCCGCUUAUAUCUGUCAUCUUUCUGGGUAUGUACUGGAACACCAGGUAGAACGUGCCUCCUUGGAAAGGACUGAUGCCUAACUUUAUCAUGCCCUCACCCAGCUCAGUGCCCGACAAUACAGGCCUACUGGUUGAUUUUCUUUUUAAGUUGAUCUCUAGCAACUAUCUUACCUAUAGGAGAAGGAGAUAAUAAAAUGUGUUCAAGUAAAUUAUUUAUUUCUGUA